rnacentral:snRNA from 1 species
AUGUGAGGGCAAUUUGUCUGGGACAGCUGUCCCCCCAAUGAUUAUCAGGGUUCUUUUGGCUGAUAUGGCUGGCUGGAUGGGUGUCCCUUUCUUCCCUUAACACUCCAUGUGUAUCCCUCCUGAACUGCAUGCUCAGUCAGAAAGGAUGACUCUCCCUGAUAGGGGAGGCAUGGUCUUCAGUUAAGGGUACAUGAGUAACUGUACUCCCCUACUGGAAUCUCUAAACAAGCGCUCAAGGUCCAGUUGUUGUUGUUUGGACCAGAGAACUCAUUCAGCAUCACUCUCAGUUCAGAAUUUCUUCUUUCAAAUGAAUUUGUAUUUUC